rnacentral:rRNA from 1 species
AGUUCGGAUUGCAGGCUGCAACCCGCCUGCAUGAAGUUGGAAUCGCUAGUAAUCGCGGAUCAGCAUGCCGCGGUGAAUACGUUCCCGGGCCUUGUACACACCGCCCGUCACACCAUGAGAGUCGGGAACACCCGAAGUCCGUAGCCUGACCGCGAAGGGGGCGCGGCCGAAGGUGGGUUCGAUAAUUGGGGUGAAGUCGUAACAAGGUAUC